ACCAGACUCCUACGGGAGGCAGCAGUGGGGAAUAUUGCACAAUGGGGGGAACCCUGAUGCAGCGACGCCGCGUGGGUGAAGGAGUAUUUCGGUAUGUAAAGCCCUAUCAGCAGGGAAGAACAAUGACGGUACCUGACUAAGAAGCCCCGGCUAACUACGUGCCAGCAGCCGCGGUAAUACGUAGGGGGCAAGCGUUAUCCGGAUUUACUGGGUGUAAAGGGGGCGCAGACGGCGAUGCAAGCCAGGAGUGAAAGCCCGGGGCCCAACCCCGGGACUGCUCUUGGAACUGCGUGGCUGGAGUGCAGGAGGGGCAGGCGGAAUUCCUUGUGUAGCGGUGAAAUGCGUAGAUAUAAGGAGGAACACCAGUGGCGAAGGCGGUCUGCUGGACAGCAACUGACGGUGAGGCGCGAAAGCGUGGGGAGCAAACAGGAUUAGAUACCCCCGUAC
rnacentral:rRNA from 1 species